CCUAGUGGCGGACGGGUGAGUAACGCGUGGGCAACCUGCCCCGUGCCGGGGGAUACCGCCUGGAAACAGGCGCUAAUACCGCAUAAGCGCAUACAGCCGCAUGGCAGUAUGCGGAAAGCUCCGGCGGCACGGGAUGGGCCCGCGCCCGAUUAGCCAGUUGGCGGGGUAACGGCCCACCAAAGCGACGAUCGGUAGCCGGCCUGAGAGGGCGGACGGCCACAUUGGGACUGAGACACGGCCCAAACUCCUACGGAAGGCAGCAG
rnacentral:rRNA from 1 species